GCCGGGGUAGCUCAAUAGGUAGAGUCGCGGAUUUAUAACCCGUAAGCCCAGAUUAGGCGUGGAUCCGAGUUCGAGUCUCGGCCCCGGUA
rnacentral:tRNA from 1 species